CUUCCCUGCAGCAUAUAAGUUCCCAGGCUGGGGAAUGAACAGGCUUCCUGGGGCUGCAGAGACACCACUGAUUUCAUUGCGCCACAGUGGGAACUCCUAUGAUAGUCCUUUUCUCCCCCUUAGGGCCACACCCUCAGCAUAUGGAAGUUACCAGGCUAGGGGUCAAAUUAGAGCUGCAGCUGCAGGCCUACACCACAGUCACAGCUACGCCAGAUCCGAGCUGCGUCUACGACAUACACCGCAGCUCACUGCAAAGCCAGAUCCUCAACCCACUGAGCAGGGCCAGGGAUCGAACCAGCGUCCUCAAGGAUACUAGUUGGGUUCAUUACCACUGAGACACCAUGGGAACUCCUCCAAUGAUAGACUUUUUAAAAACGUUCUUCCUAAUAGUCCAGAAAAUUGUAUAUGUUCAAAAUCUUCUCUUCCUGGCUUUAAGCUACUGAAGGACAGGAACAAGCUUUGGCUUAUCCUCCAAGGCACCUAAAUUAGAGGCUCGGAUGAAGACAAGGGCCAGCAAAAGUCAUGAAAUUGUGUUACUUACUAGUUUUCCAGGGCUGCUCUUGCAAAGUAAUAACACCCACAGAAUGCGUGGCUUAAACAGAGAUUUCUUUUCUUACAACGCUGGAACUGCGUGUCUGAGAUCAAGGUGUUGGUGAAUGGAUGUAUAUUUACAUGUGUGUGCAUAUACACACAACAGCACACAGGGUGUUUGUUGUCUGUAUAUAUCAUGGCAGACCUAUAAAUAUGUCUAGGUUUGAAUGAUGCAAUUAAAGUUUCCUAUUUUCUUCCAUAUAGUUUCCUUUAUAUAUUUUCAUAUUUAUAAGGUACUUAUCUCUAUGUAUUCUGUAAUAUGUACCCAUUCCUUUUGUUACCAAAACAACCUAACAUCCAUUAGAGCCCUGGAGAACUGAGCACAGCUCCCGUUACGUGAGAAAGUGUAUAGAAACGUUGUCCCAUUGAGCUGUGUGACAUCAUUUACCAAAAGAGGGCAUUGGAUCUUAUUGUCAAAAAACCCCCUCCGUUCCUCUGAUUAAAUACAGUCAAAAUUAGUGCCUCCGAUCCUGCUUGGACUGCCCAAAAUACUCGCUCUAUUUUAUGGUUCCUAGCUCCCUUGGGAUUAAUUAUUUCCUAUUGAUCUUAUUAUGCAAUAGACAGCUGCUUCAUUUUCCUUUUGAAUAACGCUUUUCAUUGCCUCUUAUACUUCCCCCGAUGAUGCUGUUUGGGGGAAGACACCUCUUCCUUAACCCAGUGGGUUUUCUAUCCAAUUUAUCUGGGGAGAUCUUAGGAAGUACAAAUGGCCCAUCGCUAUGCUAAGAGAUUCUGAUUUGUCUUGCCCGAGGCUUAUUAUUUUUUUUUUUUAAGUUCCCCAGAGCUUUAAACAGGGAGCCAGAUUUAAGAAACACUGCCUUAUCCAUGAGCAUGCUCACUGUCCUUGAACUUGCCCGAGGAGGAUGGCUAGCCUUCCUCAAAGCAACCUGUGUCAGGGGAGCAGGGUGACAGUGGAGGCCGGGUCGGCGGCAAAUCCUCCACUCCCUCGGAUGCUCGCAUUCUGUCAGAAGCAUCCCAUUUUCAGGCAGACCUAACUGUUAGGAAGCUCUUCAUCCAAGUGUGAGUUUGAGGCUUGGAGUCUUUUCUACGCCAGCCCAGCAGCUGUGUAAAAGUGGCUUCACCACCCUCCUUGUCGUCUCUUCUCAAAGCAAAGCCCACGGGUCCUCUUAACCAUCCUUCUCGCACAUACACGCUCCUCACAUCCUAUUUCUUGGUUCCCACUUCCUGUCAAGCUCCCGGUGUAUCACCUGCUACCACCUGGCUGACACUCACUGUGUUUUUCUUUUUUCCCUUUUUUUUCUUUUUGCUUUUUAGGGCCGCUCCCGGAGCACAUGGAGGUUCCCAGGCUAGGAGUCAAAUCGGAGCUACAGCUGCUGGCCUCCGCCACAGCCACAGCCACACCGGAUCCUUAACCCACUGAAGGAGACCAGGGAUUGAACCCGCAUCCUCAUGGAUAUGAGUCAGGUUCAUUACCCCUGAGCCAUGACAGGAACGCCCCACUCACUGUGUUUUACUGUUCAUUUCUGGAGCCUCUAGAGUCUGGCCCUUCACCAUGGCUCCUGAUGGGCAGACCUUCCCACAGCAGGCCACCUGUCUCCCAGGUGGGUACCAACGGGAGCAUUUAUCUUUGCCCUCAGACAAAUGCAUUCAAUCGUGCGUUGAGGUGGGGGAAAAAGGACCUGCCCUUUUGCCUCAAACUUCACUUCUGUGAAGUGCGUGAAGGGUCCUCCUGGCCUUAGAAGUGCCAAAGGGAUCAACUGAGAGCUGUGUGUUGACGGCAUCACCGGCCAACCUUGCUCUCUGCUCAGGUCUGUGGACUUAAGGAUGCAGGGAGGAGAAUAAGAUAACUUUUCAAGCAGGAAUGACCAAGUCACCUGGCUGCGGUACAGUCCUCCUGCUUCCACAUGAAGAAGUCCUGCGGGGCACCUUAAGAUGCAGGAGAUGACUAUCUGGGAUGCUUUAAAAUAGCCUUGGCAAGGCAACCCUGCCCUGAGAAGGAAUGAGAGCUGGGCGUCCUUCUAGCUCCGUCAGCACCUCCCUGGAUCCCUGGGUACCACUCUGUGGACAUCCCUCCUUUCUGACCCGGCUUAGUCCUACUUACCUGGUUCUCCUGGACUUCUGCCCCGGUGACUUUGCACCUGUUCCAGCCCUAAUCCCCAGCUCUGAUCUCCAUCCUGUAAGACCCCUGGCUUUCUUAGGCCACCUCCUGACCGGCCCCGGACUCCCAGGCAGCCUCAAAUCACAGGUUGUGAGUCCUACAAAGCUGCCUUGUUUUAUGACCCCAUUCCAGUCUCAAUUUCUAGCCUCAGACCCAUAAGGCCAACUGAUGGCGGGGUGUCUCCAUCUGGGGUCCCUCAGGGGGCAUCUCCAAUUCUUUGCAUCCCAGUGCUUUAGUUUCUCCUCCACCCUUCAAACCUUUUCUUUAACAUGUUUUUACAUGUCAGUGGGGGAUGAUAGGACCCCAUCACUUGGGAUCACUGUUUCAGUAUAUUCAAUACUUGAAAGACAUCAUUGAGUUUGUAUAUAGAAGUAUACGGCCAAUUACUCGAGGUAGCCAUUGAGUGUUGAUGAUGCAUCAAUAACUCUUCUCUGAUGAAAAGUGCAGCUCUUUCCAUAAAGACAGAGUCAAAUGGGGGCUGUGGCCAAGCCCGGACCGUGGGUGUUCUCCUAAUUUCUUCACACUCCUCCUCUGUCCACACCCCGUGUGCAAUGGUCAGGUCCUACAGCCUGUACCACCUCUGGUAGCUCUCAUGCCCCUCCUCCUUCUGCCUGCCCUCCCCUGCCACGGGCCCGACCGAGUCCUAGGAGCACAGAACCAACUUGAAGCUCUUCAGCUGAGUGUAUAACACCCUGUCCUACUCUCCUUCCCUCCCAACCUCCUUUACCCAACUAUUUGGUUUCAAAAAACACCCCGACUGUCUGCAUUGCACUACCUUCCCUGAAGGACCAUGGGACCCAGUGCCCACAAUGCAGCUUUUGUCCUUUCGGAGAACUUGGGGAUAGAGCAGUUUUCACUGUUCAAGGAAUAUGAAACUUUGAAAUACAUAACAUAAAUAGAAGGAAACCUUAGCCCAUCAGAUUUGGCAGCUUCACAAAACGGACCCACACCUUCUGGUGACUCUUGGAUUCCAGUUUCCAGCUCGAGGCGGGCCGUGGGAGACCUGCUGAUGUAGUUAAUACUCAUGAGAAGCACCAGGGGGGUAGAAAAGGGAGUCGAGAGAGAAAGGCUCAGUGAAGAAGGUGGAGGUGGGAAGGGCCAUCGUUCUGCCCUCUGGAACUUAACAUUCAGAGGGAGACGGAUCUUCUUGUUUAGAGCUCUUCUGUAUUUCUUCGAGACACAUACUAAAGAAAGAGGUUUCAGUUGCCGACUUCGGGUUUCCCUGAAAGAUAAGAGGGAUGUGCUCUCUCGCACCUGCCACCACCUCGGGGCAGCCAUCAAAGGAUCUCUCUAUGGGCCCCCCCAGGUGUCCAUCACCUGGCCUGUCUCCCCUACCUCGAUCAGUAACUCCCGUCUUUUAUCCCUCAGGGCUGGGCGCAAUAGGGAAGAACAUAUCUGACUCCAUGUUGGAUCUGCUUCUUUAGCUUUUGUAUUCUGUUGUUAAAGUUAGUCACUGAAGGGAUGUUACCGUAGCUGAAAGGAUAGAUGAUGGCCUGUCUCCGGGACCCCUACCUCGCAGGCCUGAGGUUCAUUAAAGUACCUUUGUUUAGCACAGGAGUUCCCAUCGUGGCUCAGCACUAAUGAACCCAACUAGUAUCUAAGAGGACGCAGGUUCGAUCCCCGGCCCUACGCAGUGGCUUAAGGAUCCGGCAUUGCUGUGGCUGUGGUGUAGGCCAGCAGCUGAAGCUCUGAUUCAGUCCCUAGCCCGGGAACUUCCAAAUGUCACAGGUGCAGCCCUAAAAAGAAAAAACAAACAAAACAAAACAAAACAAAACUUUUGUUUAUCUCACGGGAAACAUCCUGACCAGGCCUACCUGCUAACACAUGGCCUCUAGAGUUCAGCAGGAACCAGGGAAUAUUUGCAAAAACUUAUCACUUCUUUGACGUUACACCUCACCUCCCCAUCUUUGUUUUUUAAAAGAGACGGCCAUCCAAACCUAAGCAAGGUGGUCGUUUGGGACACUCCGCCAGCCGUCCUCUUGGUCUGCUGGCUUCCCCCAUGCAGCCAAUACCCCCUGCCUCGACAGCUUGUCUCUCGAUGGAUUGGCCUGUUGAAUGGUGAGCAGUAUGAGCUUGGAUGCGCUCUAGCUUCUUUUUUUUUGUUGUUGUUGUUGUUGUUGUUGUUGUUGCUAUUUCUUGGUUCUUGGGCCGCUCCCGUGGCAUAUGGAGGAUCCCAGGCUAGGGGUUGAAUCGGAGCUGUAGCCACCAGCCUACGCCAGAGCCACAGCAACGCGGGAUCCGAGCCGCAUCUGCAACCUACACCACAGCUCAUGGCAACGCCGGAUCGUUAACCCACUGAGCAAGGGCAGGGAUCGAACCCGCAACCUCAUGGUUCCUAGACGGAUUCGUUAACCACUGCGCCACGACGGGAACUCCAGCUCUAGCUUCUUGUUAACAGACACUAGCCCAUCAGCUUUCCCCUCUCCAUCCGGGCUCUCUUAAAAAUGGAGACGUAGGAUCAUUGUGAGAAUCCAAGGAAAUAACGGGUGUAACCAUUUGUAGAUGGCCGGGCGUUAAAGCCAAUGGCUAUGGUUGCUAUGGUUAUUAGAGGAACCCAGUGACACCUAUGAAAACGCUUCUUGGUUGUAGAGUUAUACAUGGUAAAAGCUACUUAAAGAGACGUGUGGAUCUUUGAGGGGAUCUUAACAUCAACCAACCAGGAAAGACCUGCGGCGGUGACUGCAGACCCCACUGUGAACCACAGCUUCCUGAUGAGUAUCCGCCCCUUGGGGUUAAGAACAGAGCUCAGAUUCUGUUCUCUGGACGCAUGGAGCAUAAAGGAAAUUGAAGAUCCUUCAGUCUCAUCUUAGUGAUUCAUGAGCGGGAAGUAGAGCCUCUCCCAAAGAGGAAUGGUUGGCCCAGGUUAUUCAGCUGGAGAAAGUGGAAGUAGGACUGAUAAUAAUAGUAAUAAUACAAGGAUGUACAGCGUACAGUGAAGACACUGCUCAGACUAAUCCCACCCAGCCUUCAGCACCAUUCAGGGAUGGAGAGUGCUGGCCUACACCACAGCCACAGCAAUGCCAGAUCUGAGCCACAUCUGCGACCUACACCACAGUUCCUGGCAACGCUGGAUCCUUAACCCAUUGAGCAAGGCCAGGGAUUGAACCCACAUUGUCAUGGAUACCAGUUGGGUUCUUUACCGCUGAGCCGCAGCGGGAACUCCAAUAUUAUUUUCCCCCAUCAAACAAUGAAUAUUUAAAUGCUCUAGGAACCCAUGUAAUGCUUACAACACUCUUAUGGGUUUGGGUAUUGGUAAAGAUUUCCUUUGAAAAAAAUGCAUUCUUCUACUGAAAAUGCUUUAAAAACCCUAGACCUAGAAGAAAAACAAAAUGCUGAGGGAGUAAGAAAAUUGCACCCCUGGGUGGGUUUGCACAGAUGUGUGGAGCUGUGGGGUAUUAGGAUGGGAGCAGAGGAAAAGUGAAUCUAUUCAUCAGAUUCUCCAAGAACUCAAUGUGCAAGUGGGUCACCCCUGGGGAAAGGGCUUUCCAGGUCCCCGGGAGGCUCCCAGGAGGCCUUUACUGUGUCUCCCUCUGUUACUAAAAACCUCUCUCAAAGCAGGGACUC
rnacentral:lncRNA from 1 species